GAGGGCAAAGCUCAGUGGUAGAGUGCAUGCUUAGCAUGCACGAGGUCCUGGGUUCAAUCCCCAGUACCUCCA
rnacentral:tRNA from 1 species